UACGAACUGUGCAAACGUUAUUCGGAAUCACUGGGCUUAAAGGGUGCGUAGGCGGCUUGUUAAGUAGGGUGUGAAAUCCCCCGGCUCAACCGGGGAAUUGCGCCCUAAACUGGCGAGCUGGAGUGAGAUAGGGGUGUGUGGAACUUCCAGUGGAGCGGUGAAAUGUGUUGAUAUCGGAAGGAACGCCGGUGGCGAAAGCGACACACUGGGUCUCAACUGACGCUGAGGCACGAAAGCCAGGGGAGCAAACGGG
rnacentral:rRNA from 1 species